GUCUGAUAGCUGUAUAAUUAUGGCUAUUUAAUUUAGUAUUAAAAAUGUUAAAGGAGUAAAGACCUUUCAACACUCUACAAGGCAGAGAAUACAUGCAAACGCCAGAUUUUCUUUUCCAAUUUCAAUUUCAGACCUCAACUCGCAUGGAAUUUACAUUAAGCAAUACUGACAGGCCAAAAAUAAAAUUAAAAUUGUUUGAUGUUGCCAUACCUCAACCCACCUGAAAAG
rnacentral:lncRNA from 1 species